ensembl:lncRNA
CACCCAGGAGGAAGAGAAGCAUUGUUUGUAUUGACUGGCUUCUUUUUCUUUAUGAUUAAUAAUUCCACCUUGUUUACAGGUUUCCCUGGCUUUGUAACCUCUCAAGGAAACACUGGUUCGGACCGUAUCGAUUGGCCAAUGCUGCUUGUCGGCUUUGAGGGUCACCAGCUGUCAGCUAGAGAAUCUGGAAGUGUCUAUGGAGGCAGAGGGGCUUAGAGAAGAUAGAGAGAGAGAGAGAGAGAGAGAGUGAGAAAGAGAGAGCGGGGCGCUACCGUUGGCCCGGCGACACCGCGGCACUCCCACCCGCUCUGGCGGGGAAGUUCAGAUCCUUCCAUCAGACCAGUGGGUUAGGGAGAUGGAGAGGGUGGGCAUCUGAACGCUCCUCAUAUUCCUGCAUCUUUGUUUUGCAACUGAUUAAAUUUCAAACGGCUUCUCCGGGGCAGAACGCAGCACCCCACGGCUCACGGGGCUGCCAAAUGCAUUUUCAGGACGGGAGGGGGGCGGCGGUGGGAGACGGAAGGCGGAGAGCAUCAAUCUUCGGAGAGCCGCACAGCGGAGAGGAGCGGAGCCGAGUCGGCGAAGGGGACCCGGGCCGCGUUACCUUGGCCCAUCCAGCUUGACCUUUGACCUGCGCAUUCCUGCGCGAAAAGUUCAGCGGGUUCCCAGCGCCCACCUGGAGAGGAGCUGAGACCCUGGGCAUUCAUCAGGCCCGGCGGGGCGCCGGGACUGCAGCUUUUGUCACAUGUCACAGGUACAGGGCCAGACAGGAGCCCGCUGGGGGCCACACGCCACACAGCAGCUCCACUCACUUCAGCAGGACGCAAACACACCCACUGACAGUACAGACUCUUUAUGUAAUAUAUAGUACAUUAGCAUGUCGUCAUGCGUAUGUGUUUUAUAUAUGCAUGGGAUUAUAGUGGAAGUUUAGUUGAUGACACACGUGGAGCACAGCAGCUCCCACUCUUUUCAGCAGGACGCAAACAGCCCCACUGACAGGGUGGGAAAUCAUCAUUUAAUAUAUGGUUUAACACAUGCUGUGUGAUAUAUGAUUCGAGUGGCAGAUUUGUGGAUGACACACAUGGCACAGACCAGCCCACACUAAUGCGUUGCUAUGGAACACCUGAAACUUUAACGUUCUAUUGAUGUGAAAAACUAUUUUUUUUCUCAGCGGAAGCCAUGAAAUGGCAACAAAAUCAUUAAAAAAGACAAAUGUUGGAGA